rnacentral:rRNA from 1 species
CGAUAGUUCACGUUUAAUUUUGCUUAUUUUUGUAAAAUCAGCUUGUAUACCGCCGUCAUCAGAUUAUCUUUUUAGAGGAUGAUUUUUCUUUAUAUUUAAGUAAAUAGAAUGUCAGGUCAAGGUGCAGUUUAUAUAUAAGUGGAGAUGGAUUACAAUAAAGUAAGUUAUAUGGAUAUCAAUUUGAAAUGAUUUGUUGAAGGUGGAU